GUUAAUGUAGCUUAAUUUUAAAGCAAGACACUGAAAAUGUCUAGAUGGGCAGUCACAACCCCAUAAACA
rnacentral:tRNA from 1 species